rnacentral:rRNA from 1 species
AAUGGGGGAAACCCUGAUCCAGCAAUGCCGCGUGUGUGAAGAAGGCCUGCGGGUUGUAAAGCACUUUCAGUAGGGAAGAUAAUGACGGUACCUACAGAAGAAGCACCGGCUAACUCCGUGCCAGCAGCCGCGGUAAUACGGAGGGUGCGAGCGUUAAUCGGAAUUACUGGGCGUAAAGCGCACGUAGGUGGUUUGGUAAGUCGGAUGUGAAAUCCCCGGGCUCAACCUGGGAAUUGCAUUCGAUACUGCCUAACUAGAGUCUAGCAGAGGGAUGCGGAAUUCCGGGUGUAGCGGUGAAAUGCGUAGAGAUCCGGAGGAACAUCAGUGGCGAAGGCGGCAUCCUGGGCUAAGACUGACACUGAGGUGCGAAAGCGUGGGGAGCAAACAGGAUU